UGGGGAAUUUUCCGCAAUGGGCGAAAGCCUGACGGAGCAAGACCGCGUGGGGGAAGAAGGCUCUUGGGUUGUAAACCCCUUUUCUCUGGGAAGAAAGUUGUGAAAGCAACCUGACGGUACCAGAGGAAUCAGCAUCGGCUAACUCCGUGCCAGCAGCCGCGGUAAGACGGAGGAUGCAAGCGUUAUCCGGAAUGAUUGGGCGUAAAGCGUCCGCAGGUGGCAGUUCAAGUCUGCUGUCAAAGACCGGGGCUUAACUUCGGAAAGGCAGUGGAAACUGAACAGCUAGAGUAUGGUAGGGGCAGAGGGAAUUCCUGGUGUAGCGGUGAAAUGCGUAGAGAUCAGGAAGAACAUCGGUGGCGAAGGCGCUCUGCUGGACCAUAACUGACACUCAGGGACGAAAGCUAGGGGAGCGAAUGG
rnacentral:rRNA from 1 species